UGGGGAAUAUUGCACAAUGGGCGAAAGCCUGAUGCAGCAACGCCGCGUGAGUGAUGAAGGCCUUCGGGUUGUAAAAGCUCUGUCUUUUGGGACGAUAAUGACGGUACCAAAGGAGGAAGCCACGGCUAACUACGUGCCAGCAGCCGCGGUAAUACGUAGGUGGCAAGCGUUGUCCGGAUUUACUGGGCGUAAAGGAUGCGUAGGCGGAUUUUUAAGUGAGAUGUGAAAUACCCGGGCUUAACUUGGGUGCUGCAUUUCAAACUGGGAAUCUAGAGUGCGGGAGAGGAGAAUGGAAUUCCUAGUGUAGCGGUGAAAUGCGUAGAGAUUAGGAAGAACACCAGUGGCGAAGGCGAUUCUCUGGACCGUAACUGACGCUGAGGCAUGAAAAGCGUGGGUAGCAAACAGGAUUAGAUACCCUGGUAGUCCACGCCGUAAACGAUGAGUACUAGGUGUAGGAGGUAUCGACCCCUUCUGUGCGCAGUUAACACAAUAAGUACUCCGCCUGGGAAGUACGAUCGCAAGAUU
rnacentral:rRNA from 1 species